rnacentral:rRNA from 1 species
GAUGAACGCUGGCGGCGUGCCUAAUACAUGCAAGUCGAGCGAACGGACGAGAAGCUUGCUUCUCUGAUGUUAGCGGCGGACGGGUGAGUAACACGUGGAUAACCUACCUAUAAGACUGGGAUAACUUCGGGAAACCGGAGCUAAUACCGGAUAAUAUUUUGAACCGCAUGGUUCAAAAGUGAUUGACGGUCUUGCUGUCACUUUUAGAUGGAUCCGCGCUGCAUUAGCUAGUUGGUAAGGUAACGGCUUACCAAGGCAACGAUGCAUAGCCGACCUGAGAGGGUGAUCGGCCACACUGGAACUGAGACACGGUCCAGACUCCUACGGGAGGCAGCAGUAGGGAAUCUUCCGCAAUGGGCGAAAGCCUGACGGAGCAACGCCGCGUGAGUGAUGAAGGUCUUCGGAUCGUAAAACUCUGUUAUUAGGGAAGAACAUAUGUGUAAGUAACUGUGCACAUCUUGACGGUACCUAAUCAGAAAGCCACGGCUAACUACGUG